rnacentral:rRNA from 1 species
GUGCAAGCCGUCCUCGUCGUGCGCGGCGCUACUCUCGCGCGCGUGUGUCUUUUGCGAGAUGCCCGUGUGCGAGGGUAUGCACGCGCGCGCGCAUACACGGUGAAACCGCGAAAGGCUCAUUAAAUCAGUUAUGGUUCCUUAGAUCGUGCCCACGUUACUUGGAUAACUGUGGUAAUUCUAGAGCUAAUACAUGCCGACAGAGUUCUGACCAGCGCCGAGCGGGCGCNNNNNNNNCCGCCUUGUCUUCGGACGUUUGGAAGGAACGCUCUUAUUAGAUCAAAACCGGCCAAGCGGGGACGUUGCUUNNNNNNNNGCCAUCGUCUUUCCGUAAGUGGCCCGCGCAAAGACUUGACGACUCUGAAUAAUUUCUAGCUGAUCGCACGGUCGAUACCAUUGCUUAAACGCGUACACACGCGUUAUAAUAUAGUGUGUAUAAAACACAGCGCCGGCGACGUAUCUUUCAAAUGUCUGCCUUAUCAACUGUCGACGGUAGGUUCGACGCCUACCGUGGUGGUAACGGGUAACGGGGAAUCAGGGUUCGAUUCCGGAGAGGGAGCCUGAGAAACGGCUACCACAUCCAAGGAAGGCAGCAGGCGCGCAAAUUACCCACUCCCAGCUCGGGGAGGUAGUGACGAAAAAUAACGAUACGGGACUCAUCCGAGGCCCCGUAAUCGGAAUG